GAAUGUUCUGGCGGUUUUUGACUUUUAAAUUCAGCUGCACAUAUCCCGGCUCAAACAAAACUUAAUUAAUCGAAAUAACCACCAUCAGAAUCAACCAACUUUUGCCUACGCGAAAUAAGUUUUAUAUAAUUAUCACAGUAGCA